ACCUUCUUUGCCCUUGGACUAAACGGGUAUGGAGUUACCCGAAAAUCAACCUACAAGUGAAUGCACGAGAGGUUACACGCAUUGACAAGUGGCUGGUGCGAUUUAUAAGCAAGGACACGCACCUACCAUCCUUGGAAUUGAUCUCAAACGCCCUAUGACAGAUCUAGAAAGAGAUAAACUAUAUCUUUCGUGGUACAAAGCCGGACGCCUGCAGAGUAGUAGAUCUAGCCAGAUUUCAGCAAGAUAGCUACGAAAAAUGGGGCUUUAUGCAUCCUCAAGCCAAAAAACCAGCAAAAUUAGAGCAAAUCGAGAUACCUCAAACAUAGGAAGCUCUGGCAGCAGGCACUUUAAAAAUCAACGACGAUGGAUCGAUUUGUGAGGGCUCGACGGAAGGAGUGGUCGCCUGCAUCAGACGAGACUCCUUCGGCUGCCUGGUGGACGGUUUCACUAAAGCUGUUUGGGCGAAGUCGAGUUUUCAGCUGGAAACGCUAGCUGUUCUUGAAGCUCUGAAGCACAUAAAAUAGAAGCAGAUGGGCGUGUUUUUGAUCGAGACUGACAGCCAAAGUCUCGUGAAC
rnacentral:lncRNA from 1 species